rnacentral:rRNA from 1 species
AUGCAAGUCGAGCGAGAACGGGGAGCAAUCCCUGAGUACAGCGGCGUACGGGUGAGAACACGUGGGUAAUCUACCUCUUAGUGGGGAAUAACCCUGGGAAACCGGGGCUAAUACCGCAUAAGCCCGAGAGGGGAAAGCAGCAAUGCGCUGAGAGAGGAGCCCGCGGCCGAUUAGCUAGUUGGCAGGGUAAAAGCCUACCAAGGCAAAGAUCGGUAGCCGGCCUGAGAGGGCACACGGCCACACUGGCACUGAAACACGGGCCAGACUCCUACGGGAGGCAGCAGUGGGGAAUCUUGCACAAUGGGGGAAACCCUGAUGCAGCGACGCCGCGUGAGCGAUGAAGCCCUUCGGGGUGUAAAGCUCUUUCGGCAGGGAAGAUGAUGACGGUACCUGCAGAAGCAGCUGCGGCUAACUACGUGCCAGCAGCCGCGGUAAUACGUAGGCAGCAAGCGUUGUUCGGAGUUACUGGGCGUAAAGGGUGUGUAGGCGGUUCUUUAAGUUUGGUGUGAAAUCUCCCGGCUCAACUGGGAGGGUGCGCCGAAAACUGAAGGGCUAGAGUGCGGGAGAGGAGAGUGGAAUUCCUGGUGUAGCGGUGAAAUGCGUAGAUAUCAG